GACGAACGCUGGCGGCGUGCUUAACACAUGCAAGUCGAACGGUGAAGCGCCUUCCUUGCUGGUGUGUGGUGAUGAGUGGCGAACGGGUUAGUACCACGUUAGUAACCUUCUCCCUUCUUCUUGAUAACCGCAUGCAAGUGUUGCUAAUACGGGAUAUUUUGGGUCUGUCGCAUGAUUGGUCUGGGAAAGAUUUUGUUUCGGUGGUGGAUGGGCUCGCGGCGUAUCAGCUGGUUGGUGGGGUGAUGGCUUACCAAGGCGACGAUGCGUAGCCGGCCUGAGAGGGUGAUGAGCGACCAUGCGAGGGAGGAACGAGCCACAAGACUCCGAGAGGAGGCAGUAGUGGGGAAUAGUGCACAGGGGGAGCCAGGCUGAUGCAGCGCCGCCGCGGGGGGGAUGGAGUCCUUAGGGUUGAGAUCUUCUUUCGGGAAAGAAGCAGGCCGGACUUGUUUGUGCGUGGGUUGACGGUAGCUGGAUAAGAAGCGCCGGCUAACUACGUG
rnacentral:rRNA from 1 species